rnacentral:rRNA from 1 species
UACAGAGGGUGCAAGCGUUAAUCGGAAUUACUGGGCGUAAAGCGUGCGUAGACGGUUAUUUAAGUCAGGUGUGAAAGCCCCGGGCUCAACCUGGGAAUUGCAUUUGAGACUGAAUAGCUAGGGUGCGGAAGAGGGAAGCGGAAUUUCCGGUGUAGCGGUGAAAUGCGUAGAUAUCGGAAGGAGCACCAGUGGCGAAAAGCGGCUUCCUGGUCCAGCACCGACGUUCAGGCACGAAAGCGUGGGGAGCAAACAGG